GAAGGGGAGGAUGAGGAGAAGGAAGAGGGUGGUCCCAUGGCCUCUCCACCUCGGGCAACCACAGCCUGCUUGGAGAAGACAAGACUCAGGUCCUUUGUUAUCUUCUUGGAGCUUUUCCAGCCUAGACACGCAGUGUGGGCAGAAGGGAGACAGACUGCUCCUCGAGGUGGGCACAGACCAAUGGGGGGCACAAGAGCUGUCUUUGCCAUUUUUGGUGGGGGGGGGGGGCGCCGUUAGGAUAAUGAGGGUGGGAAGGGAGGCCAGCCUCGCUCUGCAGCUGAACACACACAGGCUGAGGAAACAAGGGAUGUGCUGACGGAAUAUUUAUUCCUGGCUUUAUUUAUAGCGUCGUCUGGUGCAGAAUCAGAAAUCCGCUAAGCAGCAGAUAGGUGGGGCCGUCCCUCCCGUGUCCCGCCGCUGCUGGGACUUUGUGGGCUCUGGGGCUUCGUUUCCUCCCGCAGCCCUGACCUGUGUUCUGCUCCGACUCCUGCAGUCCGGUCGUCGGGUUCUGUGGCCGAGUUACAGUCUGCGAGGCCUUUUACUGCCCGGUAAACGAAGGGACUCGUGUGCGAGAGAAGCUGGAUUGUGAGAAUCCCUCUUUCAGGAGGGCUUUCCCACCUUUCCAUUUUUGUUGGGGAAUGGUGUCUCACCUGGGCUGGGAUUUCUCACUAGGACCCAGAGGCAUUUACUUUGUCCACUUUCUUUUCAAGUUUCAAAGGCUUUUAGGGCAUGACCAAUCUUAGGUAGAAUAAUGGCACCAAUAAUGCUUUAAAACUUACAAUGCUGUAUAACUUAUCUCAUUUGAUAAUUGCCACAUACAUUGAAAAUAAUUAUGUACGCGUGUGCGUGUAUAAUUUCAUUGCUUUCAUUUUGUUACAGUUUUAUUUGGUUGCCAUCAUUAUUAGCCUCUAUCACUCUUACAGGUGUGUAGGCAGCAAAUUAGGGAAGGUUCAACUAACAAUUGUGAAAAAAGAUGGGGCUUAGAUUUCUUUCUCCCGUGGCAAGCGAUUUGAAGUUGUCUGCCCAGAGCAGCUACAGCCCCUCCCAAGCAUUAACCAGGCUCCACAGCGAUACACCUUUGUCAAUGCCACUUGUAGCAAAUGGUCUUGCCUUCACAUCACAAGAUGGCUGCUCUCCCUCCGGGCACAGCGACUGCAUUCCAGGCAGGGAGAACGUAGAAGAGGAAUGGGCAAAGGGUGACAGAAAGACCGUGACUGCGGAGGCCUCGCCAUUUCAUUCUGGAGGAACUGUCUCCUUGAGGGGCUUGUACCGCGUCUCAUUGGCCAGGAUGGUAUCUCUUGGGCACCCCGAAUCGCGAGGGUGGCGAGGGGAUCUAGAUCUUAGCUUUUACGGCCUGUAGGGCAGAGGCAGGCCAGGAGGGAGGGGACUGGGAAAGGGAGCUGUCAGGUGACCUACAGGGCCCCUUCUGGCACAUUCAGGACAUGAGACCUGGAUUUCCAGGUAGCAGGUGCUGACGUUGAUUCUUUCCCGCAGAAGCUUACCGGUAGGGGUAACUUAAGGCCAAAACCUUAAAUUUCGUGGAAGUAAAUUUAGAUCGCAGAUGCAGCGCUAGGAGUGUUUCAAGUUUAGUUUACUUGGCGCACACGUGGUGUCUUUUGUAUUAGGAGCCGAAGGUACAAAGCUACGUGUGGUCCCGCCGCGUGGACAGCGUGUGGAAGGAGAAGGGGCAGGACGCAGGGCCCUCCCCAGGCUCAUGCCGGGCGCCGGGGGAUAAUCUGGACGCCAGAGAUCAAGAGCAGGUGGAGCCUGUGACCCACUUCUCCUUUCGCCAGGGAGCUGAGUGGCCUCGGCAGUGCCUUGCCCCAGGUCCUUGUCACGCCUCUGACCCGGCUUCACUGUCGUCCCUGCCUGUGUGGUCCUUCAUAGUGGCUCCAGAGGCCGCCGCCGCGGCCAGUGCUGGCUCUGGUCCUCCAAGGCCAGGUGGAGAAGCCCCGGGUCCCUGAGCUGCAAGAGCCUUGGGUGCCCCAUGGUUCUAAAGCUUCCUGCAGCUGGAGGGGGCGGGGGAGGGGAAGUGGGGGUCUGGGGAGCGCGGGGACAGCCAUCGGCCUCUUCAGAGCCCACUGCCCCACGCGUUGCCCGCUUCUCCCCAACAUCUGCCGUCACCUCUUCCACCUCCUUGCGUUCUCCCUUCUCCAGGCUGGGUUCCUGCAGGGUCUGCUGCCCUCCAGCCCCACCCCUGCCCCCCUUCCCCUGGAGAAGGCCCUGAGCUCCGUCCAGACCGUCUCAGCUGCCCUCCUAGGGAGGCGCCGAGUGUGAGAUGCACUCAGGGUGAAGGAGAGACUGGUCUUUUCCGCCCCGUCCUCCCUUCCCGCCCUCUCUGUGUGCUACCCCAGGCGACACUGCAGGACCCUUCUGUUCACUGGGCGGGGCCCCACAUUCGGGGACCUGUGCACGUAUUGUAGCCUGUGGGCAUCCCGUGUGUGCCAAGGCAUUUAUGAAUUUGCGAGUGUGUGCAGACGGGAGCGUUUAGUGUCCCAAAGGGAUGCUAACACGGCUGUCGGCGGAUUUAAUCAAAGGAAGCAGCUGGGGCCCCGGCAGAGAGCAGAACAGGAGAUGGGCCUUUUAUGUAAACUGUCUUCUGACCUCUUUAAGUUCCAGAUGGGAGUGGAAAGCCGAAGGCCCGUCUUCAGCGUAUAUCCUGCCCCACGGUGAAGCCAAUGGUGUUGCAGGAGCAAAUGGAGGCCGUCAUUACUGUUAUUAAUAACCGUUUACUCACCGUGCACAGUGUGCAGCCAGGCUCUUCGCACAGAGCAUCGCGGCCUCCCCACAUAGCGAAGGCGGGCCACGCGGUAUCGAUCUGGACCGGUUUUUCUUCCUGCGUCUCGCGUUAAGCUUCAGUGGUCUUGUUUGUACAAAUGUACAGCAAGCGAAAUCAGAGAGCGUGCUUAGCGCUGUUAUCUCACGUGCUUGUUUUCCACCUUGAAAAAUGCAGACAGUACGGUGUGAAUGGCAUAUUCCAGCCCCCAGCUUAUUAAAUCCAGAUACCUUCCCGGCAACCACAGAUGCUCUAAGUAUAUGUUCACGCUUCUGCUUAUACAGAAGCAUGUGUGGGUGGCUCAGUCAGUUAAGCGUCCGACUUCGGCUCAGGUCAUGAUCUCACGGGUCGUGACUUUGAGCCCCGCGAAGCGCUCCCUGCUGUCAGCACAGAGCUCCCUUUGGAUUCUCUGUCCCCACCCCCCCCACCCCCCUGGUCGCGCUCUCUUUCUCUCUCUCAAAAUAAACAAACUUCAAAAAAUACAAACAGGAUCACAUUAUAUACACUGUUCAGCAUCUCACUGUUUUUACUUACAGUAUCUCUGGAGAUGCCCUCCUGUCAGCAUGUGUGGGGCCACCUCAGGCUGGCACCAGAGCCUUGUCCCCAGGAUGCGCUGUCCGACACCCACACUGUCUCUGUCGGGUGGUCCUUGGGCCCUUCUGUCUCAGCUCUAGCAUAGAUACCACAGGAUGCACCUUUGUUCAGCACCGACGACAUCGGAGGGUAUCCCUUGAGAUUAAUUUCUUGAAGGGGAAUUCCACGUAUAUAUACAUUUUGAUAAUUAUUGCCAGAUUGCUAGCCAGAGAGAGGCCCCGAGUAGGUCUCCCAGUGUGGAGCUCGGAAGCCCUGAGCCGGGACUGACCUCCGAGUUGCUGAGCACUGGUUCUCUGGACCCUCUGCACAGGUGGGCAGACCUUCCAAGCUCAAGGUUUUCUGGGUGUCCUUCCCGCGGUCAUGUAUGUGUGCCGAGGCCGUGUGCGUGCUCGCUCCCUUAAUCCCCCAAAUAGUCUGGAAAAUCUCCCUGGGCUGGGACGUGUGGGUCCUGGGAGCACUGGAAGUGCAUGGGGAGGUGCAGGCCCCACAGCGAUGGCCAUGUCCGGCCAAGGAAAUCGGAGAUGUGUCCCUUUCUCGCCUUCCAGACACGGGUGUCCACGUUCAUUCAGGAGGCUGGCUGGGGAGGAGGGAUGCAGACCCCGAACAAGCCGGCCCUGACUCUUGUGUGGCUCGGAGGCUGUGGUUGGAACAAGGGGAAGGGUGGCUCUGUGUGCGCUUGGCCGGCUCAUGCCAAGGUCAGUACGUCCAUUUCUGCUUUCAAAUAGCUUCACUGCACCCAUGGUCAGAAAUACAGUUUACAUCCCCUUCCAGGACCACCUACCCAAAGCUUCACAGAAUCAUACCUACUUUGGCCAUACGUGUGAGCUUUGACCUACCCGAUCCUCCCCUCCCCCUCCCUUCCCCUCCCCUCCUUUCUUUCUCCUUCUCUUCCCGGAAGCAAUGGUGAUCCACUAAAUUGGGUUCACAACCCAUGGAGGGGCCCCUACCUGCCGGGGGAAAAGUAAGCUGUGCUCCCCCAGUGUUCUUGUGAUGAGAGGCGCAGUGUUGAUUCAAGCCACCCAAGGUUAAAAACGGCUGAAUCUCACCACUCUGUUAUCACUCCUCUGUCCUCACCCAUGUCCGCCCCCGCCGUUUGGCCUUCCUCCGGCCAGCUGGCCUUGGUUGACUCAUGGCCGGGCACCCUGCACGGGUCUGACAUGAAGGGGGCCCCGCGGGCACAGAGUGAUGCUCUCAGACCUGGUGGCUCCUUCCCCCAUCUGUGUGACGUCUGCAAGGAAUGGGCUGUGGAUCAGACGGUCACCCAGGGCACAGGUGAGAGGUCCGUGCAUGUGGAAGCCUUCUUCCCAGGAAGGGCGAGGAGGAGGAAGAGGACACUGACACUGAAGGAAGGUUAUUGUCACAACGGUUGUGUCCUCCCCACUUGGCCAUGGAAGCAGGUCCGGAGAAGCUGAGUCCCGGCCAAGGGCCCAGGACGGCGGAACUGGCUUGGAGCUGGGCUGCCUUGCCCCAAGCUGGAGAGCCAGCUGCGGCUGUCCUUCCAUGGACAGCCCUUUUCCUCUGUAGCUGCUGGUGUGGCUCUGGCCGUGUAGUUAGUACGCGCCGGUCGGGCUGUGGACAGCCCAGGAACACGCCGUGCGCGUGGCCUUUCAGAGCGGCCUGCUGGCACCACGGAGCCAGGAGAGGUCCGUUUCUUUUGGGAGCAAAGCAGCACCGAUCUGUAACCACACACUUGGAAAUGGGACACCGCCCUCUAAGGACACUUCAUUUGACCGGAUGGCCGCCUGUCCCUGAAGAUGUCCUCUGAGGUGGGCAGCCCACGACCGGCCUCCUGCAGCCCCUGUCCGCUCCACCUUCUCGGCACAUGGCUCCGACCCCUGGAGUGGGGCGGGGGGGGGGGGGGCAUGGCAGAUGGAGCCCUCGGGAACGGCUCGCUCAGACAGAGGAGGCUGAGGUCCAGUUGGGCUUUGCAAAAAGAGCUCUGGGAUGGAUGCUGGGAUGUCGUCUCUCAAGAUUGCUGUGAAGAGGUGAGCAAUCCCAGCCGUAGGAGCGGAAGGUAAAGGAGUAGGACAGAGAGGGAGCAGGGAGAGAGACUGCUUCCGGUCCUGGGCCAGGGCCUCAUGAGAGGCGAAAUCCUGUGCUUACAUCCCCAGGCUUUCGCGGGGCACGAGACGUGGAACGCGCUGCCACCGGACCAGCCACGAGCAAGCUUCUCAGCUCCCGUGUCUUCCUCGAGGGCCGUUAAUGAUACGGAUCUGAGAUACUUUGAGGUACCCCUCUCAGUCGCUGCAACUUGAACUAUGUACGUCUUACCCGAAGCUCCUCUCAGUUCUCUAAACGUCCGUUUGGUUUCAGCUGAAGACCAAAUGUUGGAAUUUUCCUUCUUCUUGAUCUUGACUUCUAGUGUCAGUGACCCCAGUGUGGAUCACUCCUCCCCCAUUAUCUUCCACCCAUGCACCGUCUCACUAUGCCCUGGCUGCUGUCUUCCCAGCCAGGGCUAAAAUGUUAGAGAUGGUCACCAUUGCCGGGGUCCCGCAAAGCCGUGAUGCCUUCUAAACUCCGUAUCUCUGAUGGGCCGGGGUCCCUUUAGUUUUGAAGGAAUCUAUUCUCAAAACUUUGGAGAUGGAAAGUUAUUGGUACCUAGAGCUGGAAGAAGCCUGGGCCUUCAGGUGGUAGGGACCAUGGCUGCUUUUGCUGAGAACCCUCCUCAGAGGACCGUCAGUGUCCCCAGGGCCACCUCGUGAGCGCCAAGGGAAGAACUUGGUCCGUCCCCAGGCCACCCCCUCCUUCCACCUCUGAACGCUGGACUGUCAGAAAGUUCUCUUAUGUAGUGACCAAGUGUGUUUGCCUGCAGCUUUCCUCUGGUGGUUUCAGUUUUGCUCUUCCUGGAACAAGAUAGCCGUAUGUCUACUGACAGUUCCAAUAUAAUGUAUUUUGGGGUCUUCUCAGUAACUUUCCAUUUGAGUGAACUUCUGUCUAUCUAUCCAUCCAUCCAUCCAUCCAUCCCUCUUUUAUUUAUCUACCUAUCCAUCCAUCCAUUCAUCUGUUAUCUAUCGUAUGUCUAUUUAUCUAUCUAUCCGUCCAUUAUCCAUCCAUCCAUUCAUCCAUCCAUCCAUCUGUCCAUCUGUUAUCUAUCAUCUAUCAGUUGUCUAUCAUCUGUCUAUCCGUCCAUUAUCCAUCCAUCUAUUCAUCCAUCCAUCCGUCCAUCUGUUAUCUGUCAUCUAUCAAUUAUCUAUCAAUCAUCUAUUAUAUAUCGAUGGGCUAUCUACCAUCUAUCAAUUGUCUAUCUAUCAUCUGUCUAUCCAUUCAUUAUCCAUCCAUCCAUUCAUCUAUCCAUCCAUCUGUCCUUCCAUCCAUCAAUUAUCUAUCAAUUAUCUAUCAAUUAUCUAUCAAUCAUCUAUUAUAUAUUGAUGGGCUGUCAUCUAUCAAUUGUUUAUCUAUCUAUCCGUCCAUUAUCCAUCCAUUAUCCAUCCAUCCAUUCAUCCAUCCAUCUGUCCAUCUGUUAUAUAUCACCAAUCAAUCGUCUGUCAAUCAUCUAUUAUAUAUCGAUGGGCUAUCUGUCAUCUAUCAAUCGUCUAUCUAUCAUUCUCUCUCUCUCUCUCUCUCUCUCUCUCUCUCUGUCUCUAUGUCUGGUUGAUACACCCUAAGAUGACUCUCAAUGAGUCACACUCGUGUAUAAUCCUCUCUCCCUUGAGUGCAGGUGGAACCUGUGAGUCCUAACCAAUAGAGUGUAACCAAGGAGAGGACAUGUGCCUUCCCAGACCACAUAACAUCAUCUAAGACGCCAUCUUAGCAGACUGGAAGAAAGACAUUCUUUCUUCCACUGGCCUUGACGAUGCAAACGGCCAUGUUGUGACCUGCCUGUAGAACCGAGGUGGCCUCCAGUGACAGCCUGUAGGAAUCAUAGUGCUCAAGGAGAUGGAUUCUGGAGCUGGAGCUCUUAGCCAGUGUGUUAAUAAACACAAUGUGUUACGAGGUAGGACACCUGAAUUAUGACCGUUGUUUAUCUCACUUGUCCGAGAGUCCGACACCGGGCUGCACAGACUUUAGCAGCAGACCGUUCAUGAGUUUAUUCGGCAGGCGAGGAGCUGUGAAUUUCUUCCCUUCAUGGGUGGGAUGGAGCCCCCCCUGCACGCAAGGACUGUUUCUUGAUAAAGAAGAGGCUGGGAGGAGACUCCGGAAGACCUCCCUGCCCUUCCUCUGCUGUGCUCCCUGGUGCGGGAGCCUGGUCCCUGCACCCUGCAUCGCUCCAGACCCCUUGCUGGUGGAUCAAGCUAGUGCUGCUUGUGGUGGUUGAACGUCCACAUCCCAACCCCCAGAACCUGGGAAUGCUAUCCUGUACGGCAAAGGGGACUUUGCAGCUGGGAUUAGGUUAAGCAUCAUGAGAUGGGGAGGCUGUCUGGAUGAUCCAGGUGGGCCCAAAGUAACAAUAAGUGUCCUUAUGGGGGAACCACAGGCAGGAGAUCAGAGGAGGAAGUGGGAAAGUCACAACGGAGGUAAGAGGUUGGGGUGAUGUGAGGGAGGGGCCACACACCAGACAGUGUGCGUGGCCCCAGAAGCAGAAAAGACAGGAAAGGGAUUCUCCCCUGGCGCCCGCAGAAGGAACCCCCGGCGACUCCUUGACUUUAGCCCAGUGAGACCGAUUUCAAAAUUCUGGUCUCCAGCACUGUAAGAAAAUACAUUUGUGUUGUUUUCAGCGUGUGGUGAUGUCUUACUGCAGCCACAGGGAACUAAUACAGCUGCCCUUUCUGCAAGAGGAAUACCUCUCUUGCCUACCGCCACGGGGCUGGUGGGGACCCUGUGUGGACGGAGCUCUCUCAUCCGUGUUGGGCUGGGCCCCGUGACUUGCGUCGUCCCAUGAAGUGUGGGCCCUUCCAGGGCCCGGCACAGCCUCCUUGGUGGUCCUUGACCUGCUCUGACCCCCCUUGUCUGCCAUGAGGACGGCACACCUGCUCUUCAGCCCAGACCCAGGUGUGAUGGGCACUGGAGCAGAGUGAGAAACAGGCCUUCCUUGUGAGCCACCGAGAUGGUUUGUCCCUGUGCACAGCCAGGUUCCUGGCCUGGGUCGGCCCGUGGGCAGCAUUGGAAGGAGGGUUGCAGCAGCCAGGGUGUCUUUGCUGCUUGUCAGCCCCAGCAGGUGUCCCAGGACCCUCUCCCCUCUCUUCAGCCCCAGAGCUGUCCCAGGACCCUCUCCCCUCCCUUCAGCCCCAGCAGGUGUCCCUGGACCCCCUCCCCUCUCCCCUCUCUUCAGCCCCAGAGCUGUCCCAGGACCCUCUCCUCUCCCUUCAGCCCCAGCAGGUGUCCCAGGACCCUCUCCCCUCCCUUCAGCCCCAGCAGGUGUCCCAGGACCCUCUCCCCUCCCUUCAGCCCCAGCAGGUGUCCCAGGACCCUCUCCUCUCCCUUCAGCCCCAGAGGUGUCCCAGGACCCUCUCCCCUCCCUUCAGCCCCAGCAGGUGUCCCAGGACCCUCUCCUCUCCCUUCAGCCCCAGAGGUGUCCCAGGACCCUCUCCCCUCCCUUCAGCCCCAGCAGGUGUCCCAGGACCCUUUCCCCUCCCUUCAGCCCCAGCAGGUGUCCCAGGACCCUUUCCUCUCUCUUCAGCCCCAGGAGGUAUUUCUGGCAGCUGCUAUGUGCUGGCUGUGGUUCCAGCUUUUGCCUUGCGGCCCCUCCUGAGGACCCAGCUCCUGCAGGGGACCUGGCCUCUGGGCUCCACUAACCUCUGCCUCUCUCUGGUAGUCCUCCCAUCCUCCCAUCCUAAAGCAGGGUUCUCCUGCUUUAGCCAAUCCUUGGGUUGCCUCAUGGUUUGGUUUUCUAUCUCUUCUAACAUCUUUGUAACCAGUUUCCCAUAUUAAAUGUUGUCUAUUGA